CUGUGAUCAAUAGCUGAUUUGAGAGGAUGAUCAGCCACAUUGGGACUGAGACACGGCCCAAACUCCUACGGGAGGCAGCAGUGGGGAAUCUUGCACAAUGGAGGAAACUCUGAUGCAGCGAUGCCGCGUGAGUGAAGAAGGCCUUUGGGUUGUAAAGCUCUUUCGUCGGGGAAGAAAAUGACUGUACCCGAAUAAGAAGGUCCGGCUAACUUCGUGCCAGCAGCCGCGGUAAUACGAAGGGACCUAGCGUAGUUCGGAAUUACUGGGCUUAAAGAGUUCGUAGGUGGUUGAAAAAGUUGGUGGUGAAAUCCCAGAGCUUAACUCUGGAACUGCCAUCAAAACUUUUCAGCUAGAGUAUGAUAGAGGAAAGCAGAAUUUCUAGUGUAGAGGUGAAAUUCGUAGAUAUUAGAAAGAAUACCAAUUGCGAAGGCAGCUUUCUGGAUCAUUACUGACACUGAGGAACGAAAGCAUGGGUAGCGAAGAGGAUUAGAUACCCUCGUAGUCCAUGCCGUAAACGAUGUGUGUUAGACGUUGGAAAUUUAUUUUCAGUGUCGCAGCGAAAGCGAUAAACACACCGCCUGGGGAGUACGACCGCAAGGUUAAAACUCAAAUGAAUUGACGGGGACCCGCACAAGUAGUGGAGCAUGUGGUUUAAUUCGAAGAUACGCGCAGAACCUUACCAACACUUGACAUGUUCGUCGCGACUUUAAGAGAUUAAAGUUUUCGGUUCGGCCGGACGAAACACAGGUGCUGCAUGGCUGUCGUCAGCUCGUGUCGUGAGAUGUUGGGUUAAGUCCCGCAACGAGCGCAACCCUCACUUUUAGUUGCCAUCAUUAAGUUGGGCACUCUGAAAGAACUGCCAGUGAUAAGCUG
rnacentral:rRNA from 1 species